AGGCAGCAGUGGGGAAUUUUGGACAAUGGGCGCAAGCCUGAUCCAGCAAUGCCGCGUGCAGGAUGAAGGCCUUCGGGUUGUAAACUGCUUUUGUACGGAACGAAACGGUCCUCUCUAAUACGGGGGGCUAAUGACGGUACCGUAAGAAUAAGCACCGGCUAACUACGUGCCAGCAGCCGCGGUAAUACGUAGGGUGCGAGCGUUAAUCGGAAUUACUGGGCGUAAAGCGUGCGCAGGCGGUUAUAUAAGACAGAUGUGAAAUCCCCGGGCUCAACCUGGGACCUGCAUUUGUGACUGUAUAGCUAGAGUACGGUAGAGGGGGAUGGAAUUCCGCGUGUAGCAGUGAAAUGCGUAGAUAUGCGGAGGAACACCGAUGGCGAAGGCAAUCCCCUGGACCUGUACUGACGCUCAUGCACGAAAGCGUGGGGAGCAAACAGGAUUAGAUACCCUGGUAG
rnacentral:rRNA from 1 species